rnacentral:lncRNA from 1 species
GGAUCUUAAUUAGUACACUCACGUUCUCUAUGGAAGAUCGAUACUCUGGAAUACUCCCGGGUGAAGGCUACAUCGGUAUCCGUACGCUUGCGGAUUUUUCUGUUUGCGUUUAAAAUACCCAACAAGCUUUCUGGCGCCGUUGCCGGGGAACGGUAGCUGUGCUAGUUUCGAACCAAGUCGUCCGUGUAUCCUUUUUCUUUUCUUUUUUUAUCACACUCACCUUAUCACUUUCACCAUACCACAUGGAUUUCACUCUAAGCAUUAAUGAGCAUGGAAUUUAUUUCAUAGCCACUUCACUUACUCCAUGCUCAUAUGCAACAUCUUCACAAUCCAUUAGUCUCUCCAACAUCACCACAUUCGAGAUCUCCAACCCCCUCAUCCUUUCUAUUUAUAAAAACUUUAAAAGGGCGGUUGUCGAUGCAUAUGUCUAUAAGAAAUAUUGCAGAUCUCGUUGAGUUGAUCUUGAUAUAGGUCAGCGUUCGAGAGG